AUAAAUAAUUUUUACCUUUUGGGUCAAAAUAUUGGGAUCUGGCUUAUAUUCGUUUUGACUAGAAGGAGGUGGAUGGUGAAAAAUGUUUCCUGGAGUAAUCAUUAUAUAUUACUUUGACAAUCAUGAUUAUCUCUCCUUUAUGGGUAUUACUGAAAGGAGUUGUCAAGAAUGACUGGAAAUUUGAAGUAAACAUUGGAAAAAACUCAGAGAAAGCUAAUACAGGAAGGAGACUGAAACACCAAGUAAUUAAGAAAAAAAAUAUGGGCUAGAAUCUAAUGUUAGUAGUUACAUUUCAACAAGAGUGUCAAGGGGAGCUUGCAUCUCUGAAAGAGGUCAAAGACACCAAGAUCAAAAUUUCAAUCUGUGAGAAACUCUAGCAUAAGAGGUGACAAAUUAAUCCUGCUGAAACUUUCUGAAUUGGAAAGGGAUACUGUGAAACAAAUAGGCUGAUUAAAUUUAUGUGAAAUGUAGCUUCUAGUAAGAUUUGGAGAAAAAAAAAUGUACCCGUGUCAAAAAAUGACCAUAAUAAAGGACCAGAGAGAAGACCUUUAGGCCUAUUUUUAUGUCUAUAAUCAGGAAAGGCAAGACAUCUCCCAAGCUAGUACAACUGCAAGGGAAUUCACAUAUCCUUUCAGAUAUAGGCUCUUGCAAAUGCCUAAUUAUCUAUGUUAAUGUAGGCAAUAUUUUACUUCAUGUGAGCUGAUUCCCCUCUUUUGGCAGACCCGUAAGAGGACUUCAGUGAAGUAGCAACUCAGUUUACAUUUUGGCUUUAGUUAUGACAUGUAGGGAAAUCUGUUGUUCAUCUGCAGCAGCCAUACUUGUAAACACCCGUACCAUUUCCAGUAACAGAGGAAAAAACUCCAACAAACAAAUCCAUACAAGGAUUUUAAACCUGAGGAUUGUGUGACUGUGUAUGCCUCCUAUCUUCCUACCCCCAAAACACCAAGGUUGGCAAACUGGGACAAAACUUCAAACAAGUAUUCAAAGCCAUGUAGAACACCAUUUUGCCAUUAAGAGUAUACCUAACAGCCAUGAGCAAAAGCUUGCCUCUGCUGGUAGCUCUCAGCAUACAUUUGGAGUAGUUAAUUAUCCUUCAGCACAGGACUUCCAGACCCAACUUUUUAAGUACAAGUCUUCAAGAAUUGAAUAUCUUACUCCCCACCUUUUUUCUUUUUGCCCUUCCGCUUCCUUUUUAGCAUACUUUCAUUGAGACACCUGCUUUCUGCCUGCAAUAAAAGGAAAGCUCCA